GGGAACUACGAGCCAAGCUUAAAACCCAAAGGACUUGACGGUACCCCAUAUCCCCCUAGAGGAGCCUGUCCUAUAAUCGAUAACCCCCGUUUAACCUCACCAUUUUUAGCAACUCAGCCUGUAUACCUCCGUCGUCAGCUUACCACGUGAGCGCUAGUGAGCUCAAUGUUUUUCCAACUAAACGUCAGGUCAAGGUGCAACACAUGAAAUGGGAAGAGGAUGGGCUACACUUUCUAACAUAGAUCACACGGAAGACUAACUAUGAAAUCUGGUCAGAAG
rnacentral:rRNA from 1 species